rnacentral:rRNA from 1 species
GUGCGUAGCGCGUAUAGAACCUACCUUUUGCAGGGGGAUAGCCUUUAGAAAUGAAGAUUAAUACCCCAUGGUAUUAUUGAGUUGCAUGACUUAAUAAUUAAAGAUUUAUCGGUAAAAGAUGGCUAUGCGUCCUAUUAGCUAGAUGGUGUGGUAACGGCACACCAUGGCAACGAUAGGUAGGGGCCCUGAGAGGGGGAUCCCCCACACUGGUACUGAGACACGGACCAGACUCCUACGGGAGGCAGCAGUGAGGAAUAUUGGGCAAUGGAGGCAACUCUGACCCAGCCAUGCCGCGUGUAGGAAGACUGCCCUAUGGGUUGUAAACUACUUUUAUACAGGAAGAAACACCUUUACGUGUAGAGGCUUGACGGUACUGUAAGAAUAAGCAUCGGCUAACUCCGUGCCAGCGGCCGCGGUAAUACGGAGGAUGCAAGCGUUAUCCGGAAUCAUUGGGUUUAAAGGGUCCGUAGGUGGAUUAAUAAGUCAGAGGUGAAAUCCUGCAGCUCAACUGUAGAACUGCCUUUGAUACUGUUAAUCUUGAGUCAUUAUG